rnacentral:rRNA from 1 species
AUGAAUUAUGAGUUUAAUAGAUCCUCUUUAGCAGAAAGACAUAUAUUCCUUGCUCAUUAUCAGACAAUCACUUAUUCCCAAACCUCGUGUGGGACUAAUCGUUUUCAUUUACCAUCUCAUGGAAAACCCUUUUCGUUCCGCUUAGCCCUAUUGGGUAUUUUAGUGAUAGGUUCUGUAGGAACUGGACUAUCCUAUUUGGUCAAAUAA